UUGAGUUUUCUUAAUACUUGAUCCCUCAUUAUCUCACAAACUCUCUAAUCUGUACAUCAAUUUUUUUUUAAAAAUACUUGGUUUGACUUGAUUCUUAAGUAUAAUCAAGUGCUUAAAUGCUAAAUACUAACUUACUUGAGGACUUAAAAAAAUUUUUAAAUUUUUUCUUAUUCUCCCCCCAACUUAAUCGACAUUGUCCUCAAUGGAGUAGGAAAAAUGAAGGGUGCAUACAAAGAGAAAGAAAAAGAGAGAUGUCACCUGAUCCAGAAGUCUUUUCAAAAUUAGUUCUCCCCCCA
rnacentral:lncRNA from 1 species